GGGGUGAUGGCGCAGUUGGCUAGCGCGUAGGUCUCAUAAUCCUGAGGUCGAGAGUUCGAGCCUCUCUCACCCCA
rnacentral:tRNA from 3 species